GGAAUUGUUCGCAAUGGGCGCAAGCCUGACGACGCAACGCCGCGUGGAGGAUGAAGGGCUACGGCUCGUAAACUCCUUUCGACCGAGAUGAAUACCCGCAGGGCCAAUAACCUUGCGGACUGACAGUAACGAGGGAAGAAGCCCCGGCUAACUCCCGGCCAUCAGCCGCGGUAAUACGGUGGGGGCAAGCGUUGUUCGGAAUUACUGGGCGUAAAGGGUUCGUAGGUGGUCAACUAAGUCAGACGUGAAAUCCCUCAGCUUAACUGGGGAACUGCGUCUGAUACUGGUUGACUUGAGUGCAGGAGAGGAACGCGGAAUUCCAGGUGUAGCGGUGAAAUGCGUAGAUAUCUGGAGGAACACCGGUGGCGAAGGCGGCGUUCUGGACUGUAACUGACACUGAGGAACGAAAGCCAGGGGAGCAAA
rnacentral:rRNA from 1 species